AACGGGUGAGUAAUAUAUCGGAACGUCGCCGAUCGGUGGGGAGUAACGUAGCGAAAGUUACGCUAAUACCGUAUACGAUCUACGGAUGAAAGCGGGGGAUCGCAAGACCUCGCGCGAAUGGAGCGGCCGAUAUCAGAUUAGGUGGUUGGUGGGGUAAAGGCUCACCAAGCCAACGAUCUGUAGCUGGUCUGAGAGGACGACCAGCCACACUGGAACUGAGACACGGUCCAGACUCCUACGGGAGGCAGCAGUGGGGAAUUUUGGACAAUGGGCGCAAGCCUGAUCCAGCCAUUCCGCGUGCAGGAUGAAGGCCUUCGGGUUGUAAACUGCUUUUGUACGGAACGAAACGGUCUGCCCUAAUACGGUGGGCUAAUGACGGUACCGUAAGAAUAAGCACCGGCUAACUACGUG
rnacentral:rRNA from 1 species